GUCAGGCCUCCUGCAGAGCUGGCCCAGGGCAGGACACAGUCUCCUGCCAUCACACCUCCCCCACCCAGGUGUUCUGGGCACCCAGACCUGCAGAAGGAAGAGUGAGUGGAGGGUGGAAGGAAGGCCUGGGAGGGCCGGUGGGGGCCACUGGUCAGGAGUCAGGCGAGCUUCCGUCCCCAUCCCUGGCUGAGGCCCAAAGGUAAACAGGUGUAUUUGGACUCCCGGCAGGGGACAGGGGGUUGGCCCCGCGGGGCAGGCCUGGGCCUGUCAGAGGUGGGGAUGUGGAGAGAAGCCUGCUUUCACAAUGGGUGGCAGAGUGGCCCCGGGUCCUGCUGACACAUUCUUGGAAGGUGAAGAGGAAAACACAGCAUCAAGGACAGGCACCAGCUUCCGAAGUACUGAAGGAAUGAAUGCACGAAGGAAAGAAUGAACGAACGAAGGAGCUGGCUGAGCAGAUGGACAAAAGGCAAGAGUACUGGAGUGGGUUGCCAGUUCCUUCUCCAAUGCAUGAAGGUGAAAAGUAAAAGUGAAGUCGCUCAGUCCUGUCCGACUCUGAGCGACCCCAUGGACUGCAGCCCACCAGGCUCCUCCAUCCAUGGGAUUUUCCAGGCAAGAGUACUGGAGUGGGGUGCCAUCGCCUUCUCUGAGAUGACCCACGGUGACCUCCAAAGGGACUUGGGAAGAGACAGGUGGUAUACAUGGAGAACUGCAUACGCUGAUCACUGGUCUCUGUGCUCAUUCAUUCAUUCAAUGAAUACCUGAAGGAUGGGAGGACCCUUCCACGGAAGCGGCGGGCACACACACGGCAGAAGACCAAACCCACAAAGCAAGUGGGUCCCAAGAGUGCCCUGGGGGAACUUCCUGGUGGACUAGUGGUUAGGACUCCACACUGCAGUGGGGACAUGGGUUUGAUCCCUGGUUGCGGAAUUAGGAUCCCACAUCCUGAGCAGUGUGUUCAAAAAAAGAGAAGAAAAAGUCAUGAAUGAGCUCAUUUACAUAUGGAAUUUAGAAAAACCACCAAACUCAUAGAAAAAGAGAUCAUAUUUGUAAUUACCAGAAGCAGGGGUGGGCCGAGGAGGAAUUGGAGAAAGGUGGUUAAAAUGGUACAAACUUCCAGUUAUCAGAUAAACAAGAACUAGAGAUGUAAUUUACAACAUGAGGACUCCAGUUAACAAUGCUUUGUGAUAGACAGAAAAGUUGUUAACCCAGUAGAUCCUAAGUUCUCAUCACAAGGAGAAUUAUUUUUUUUUCUUUACUUUGGAUUCUAUUUGAGAUGAUGGAUGACAACUAAACCUAUUGUGGUAAUCAUUUCACAAUACAGUUGACCUUUGAACAGCAGGGGUUAGAGGCACUGACCCUAGGGCAGUGGAAAAUUCCCAUAUAACUUUACAGCUGGCCCUUUCAAUCCACUGUUCUAUCGUGUACUGCUGCUGCUGCUGCUGCUAAGUCGCUUCAGUCAUGUCGGACUCUGUGCGACCCCAUACACGACAGCCCACCAGGCUCCCGGUCCCUGGGAUUCUCCAGGCAAGAACACUGGAGUGGGUUGCCAUUUCUUUCUCCAGUGCAUGAAAGUGAAAAGUGAGAGUGAAGUCGCUCAGUUGUGCCGGACUCUUAGUGACCCCAUGGACUGCAGCCCACCAGGAUCCUCCGUCCAUGGGAUUUUCCAGGCAAAAGAGUACUGGAGUGGGGUGCCAUCGCCUUCUAUCCUAGUGUAUAUUCACUGAAAAAAAUCCAGGUGGACUCCCAUAGUUCAAACCCAUGCUUGCUGUUCAAGGAUUCGCUGUAUAUAUAAUUCAACCACCAUGCUGUACACCUUAUGCAUUGAUGUAUGUCAAUCACUUCUCAGUAAAACUGGAGACAAUAAAUAAAUUUUAAAAAGCCA
rnacentral:lncRNA from 1 species